GAGCAGUAAACAGCUUAGAAAAUGGCUAGUGGAUUGAAUCAGCUGACUGGAUCUUUUAGAGCAGACCUGUUGAGAGUGAUGAUCAGCAGCAUGAGAGGCUGUUGCAGUACUCUUACUCUAAAGAUUCAAACCACUAAUAUGAGCAAUCAAUUUUCAUUCAUCACCCCAUGUUUUGUGCAAGGCCUAUAUUAUGCAACUUGGAUACUUGAUGUAUGUGUUGGAUAUAAAUAUAUUUAAUAUGGGUAUACUUAAUUAUUUCGGAUCAUGUUUUCAGUGAUAUCCGAAUAUACAUUUUACACAAAUAUUUAAAGGAAAUGAAAAAUUGUAUGGUUGAGAAUUAUCCAACUAAA